CCAUAAUUUCUGAAAGAAGAAUUUGGCACUUCUCACACUAGAACUUGUCUUUGUGUACACUGCUGCAGCUCCAUUGAAGUCAACGCUGAAUAACACAACUUGAGAAGCUUGCCUGGUUUCUUCUAUGCUAGCAAGUUCCAUUCAUUGCUUUGGUCUUCGAACUACCUUUUCCCAGAACAUGCUUUGCUGUUUCAAGCCAGCACAGCAAACACAAGUGACUGCCCAAUAACUGCUACAGUGGGGAACAGCAGCACAACAACUUACCUUGCCCCUGGCCCCCUGCAACCAUAGAGCCCAGAACUAUCUGCAUUCAGGCUCCUGACCACCAUAGAGAUGAUGACAAAAAGUAUUAAGUAUAGAACAAACCCAACUUGAACCUAACCCAUCACAGUA